rnacentral:rRNA from 1 species
CCACAAGACGGUGGAGCAUGUGGUUUAAUUUCGAAGCAACGCGAAGAACCUUACCAGGCCUUGACAUGCAGAGAACUUUCCAGAGAUGGAUUGGUGGCCUUCGGGAACUCUGACACAGGCGCUGCAUGGCUGUCGUCAGCUCGUGUCGUGAGAUGUUGGGUUAAGUCCGUAACGAGCGCAACCCUUGUCCUUAGUUACCAGCACGUUAUGGUGGGCACUCUAAGGAGACUGCCGGUGACAAACCGGAGGAAGGUGGGGAUGACGUCGAGUCAUCAUGGCCCCUACGGCCUGGGCUACACACGUGCUACAAUGGUCGGUACAAAGGGUUGCCAAGCCGCGAGGUGGAGCUAAUCCCAUAAAACCGAUCGUAGUCCGGAUCGCAGUCUGCAACUCGACUGCGUGAAGUCGGAAUCGCUAGUAAUCGUGAAUCAGAAUGUCACGGUGAAUACGUUCCCGGGCCUU